rnacentral:SRP_RNA from 1 species
GCCAGGCGUGGUGGUGUACACCUGUAGUCCCAGCUACUCGAGAGGCUGAGGUGGGAGGAUCACUUGAGUCCAGGAGCUUGAGGCUGCAGUGAGCCUUGAUUGUGUCACUGCACUCCAGCCUGGGCAACAGAGUGAGACCCUGUCUCAA